rnacentral:rRNA from 1 species
UACGUAGGGGCAAGCGUUAUCCGGAUUUACUGGGUGUAAAGGGAGCGUAGACUGAGAAGCAAGUCGGAUGUGAAAGGCUGGGGCUCAACCCCGGGAUUGCAUUUGAAACUGUCUCUCUUGAGUACCGGAAGGGCAGACGGAAUUCCUGGUGUAGCGGUGAAAUGCGUAGAGAUCAGGAGGAACACCGAUGGCGAAUGCAGGUCUCUGGGCCACUACUGACGCUGAGAAGCGAAAGCAUGGGGAGCGAACCAGGAUUAGAUA